rnacentral:rRNA from 1 species
GACGAACGCUGGCGGCGUGCUUAACACAUGCAAGUCGAACGGAAAGGCCCUGCUUUUGUGGGGUGCUCGAGUGGCGAACGGGUGUGUAACACGUGAGUAACCUGCCCUUGACUUUGGGACAACUUCAGGAAACUGGGGCUAAUACCGGAUAGGAGCUCCUGCUGCAUGGUGGGGGUUGGAAAGUUUCGGCGGUUGGGGAUGGACUCGCGGCUUAUCAGCUUGUUGGUGGGGUAGUGGCUUACCAAGGCUUUGACGGGUAGCCGGCCUGAGAGGGUGACCGGCCACAUUGGGACUGAGAUACGGCCCAGACUCCUACGGGAGGCAGCAGUGGGGAAUAUUGCACAAUGGGCGGAAGCCUGAUGCAGCAACGCCGCGUGCGGGAUGACGGCCUUCGGGUUGUAAACCGCUUUCGCCUGUGACGAAGCGUGAGUGACGGUAAUGGGUAAAGAAGCACCGGCUAACUACGUG